rnacentral:rRNA from 1 species
AACGAACGCUGGCGGCAUGCCUAACACAUGCAAGUCGAACGAGACCUUUGGGUCUAGUGGCGCACGGGUGCGUAACGCGUGGGAAUCUGCCCUUGGGUUCGGAAUAACAGUGAGAAAUUGCUGCUAAUACCGGAUGAUGUCUUCGGACCAAAGAUUUAUCGCCCAGGGAUGAGCCCGCGUAGGAUUAGCUAGUUGGUGGGGUAAUGGCCUACCAAGGCGACGAUCCUUAGCUGGUCUGAGAGGAUGAUCAGCCACACUGGGACUGAGACACGGCCCAGACUCCUACGGGAGGCAGCAGUGGGGAAUAUUGGAGACUGGGCGCAAGCCUGAUCCAGCAAUGCCGCGUGAGUGAUGAAGGCCUUAGGGUUGUAAAGCUCUUUUACCAGGGAUGAUAAUGACAGUACCUGGAGAAUAAGCUCCGGCUAACUCCGUG